rnacentral:rRNA from 1 species
UACGUAGGCAGCAAGCGUUGUUCGGAAUUACUGGGCGUAAAGCGUGCGUAGGCGGUGCCUCAAGUCUGGUGUGAAAUCUCCCGGCUCAACUGGGAGGGUGCGCCGAAAACUGAGGUGCUCGAGUGUGGGAGAGGUAGGCGGAAUUCCUGGUGUAGCGGUGAAAUGCGUAGAUAUCAGGAGGAACACCGGCGGUGUAGACGGCUUACUGGACCAUUACUGACGCUGAGGCACGAAAGCCAGGGGAGCAAACGGG